ensembl:lncRNA
AGUGACUGAGAAGUUUCCUCUAGACGCCUCCUUGUCUUCUAGAAGCAUCUAUUCAUUCUUAACGCUCUGGGAAAUGAAUGAGAAAAACAAAGACACCUGGCAGAAAGCAGUUGUGUUCGAUGUAUCAAGAUGGACGUUGGGAAACAUGGAAGGGGUACCUUCAGGAUGCCUGAGAAAGGUCUUCAAGAUGACACAUCACAAGCCUCGUGCUGGAAAUUCGCAGUGAGAACCAGAUACAAACCUCCAUGGAUACAAUAGCAGUUUACGGAUUAUCUUUGGCACAAACUUCUGCCUUCUUGUGAGCGUGAACGAAAAAAGGUGCAGACAAUCCAGCGUUUCUGUUGGGGUUCACUGAUUGGAAAGUUGGCAAUAUUAAAAUGUGUAUUUAUCAAAAUCAUGGAUUCCUUGAGGCUGGACGUAAUUUUUCC